CCUACGUGGGGCAGCAGUGGGGAAUAUUGGGCAAUGGAGGCAACUCUGACCCAGCAACGCCGCGUGAAUGAUGAAGGUCUUCGGAUUGUCAAGUUCUGUGAUGGGGGAUGAACACAAUGACGGUACCACCAUAGCCAGCCACGGCUAACUACGUGCCAGCAGCCGCGGUAAUCCGUAGGUGGCACGCGUUAUCCGGAAUGACUGGGCGUAAAGGGUGCGUAGGUGGUUUAGUAAGUUGGCGGUGUAAUUCCGGGGCUCAACCUCGGCGCUACCGCCAAAACUAUUAGACUAGAGUGCAGGAGGGGUAAGUAGAAUUCCAAGUGUAGCGGUGGAAUGCGUAGAGAUUAGGAGGAACACCAGUGGCGAAGGCGACUUACUGGAC
rnacentral:rRNA from 1 species